GAAAGGGCUGGGCGGCCGGCGCGGGGUGACCACGCGGCGUGAUGCGCUGGGCUCUGUCGCGCUGCAAGCUCUCUGCCCGCCGCCAACCUUGUGACGCCGCAGGACGCUGAAAGGGACUGUGUAGGUGAAUAAGAGCCGUGGCGUGGGAUACCUAGGUGGCUCAGUCGGUUAAACGUCCUACUCGAUUUCAGCUCAGGUCAGGAUCUCAUGGUUCGGGAGUUCGAGCCCCACAUCGGGCUCUAUGCUGACAGUGUGGAGCCUGCUUGGGAUUCUUUGUCUCCCUCUCUCUCUGCCCUUACCCCACUCGUGCUCUCCCUCUCUAAAUAAAUAAAUA